UUGAGGAAGUGUAGUGCACGCGUCUGUUCAAAUCAGCGAUCACAUGCGAAACUCAGCUCUGUUCGAUGUUUGAUAUUCUGUCUGGAUGUGAUACAGGCAAGAUACAAGACGUCCUGCGAGUUCCCGGCAAUACAGAUAACCGCUGACAGACGCCAGCCAAUUUGCUGUCCCGCCGCACCAGAGCAAGGCACUAGAAAUAUGGGCUGAGGAGUGACCCUUUGGCUGUGUCGCCCAUCCAUCCGAACCUGGUGGUGGGCUGGCCACCGUGGUAAUUGCCUGCGAAACAGUGUUUUGACAAGCCAGACGGGUGUAAGCCAUCAUUCUAGCAGCACGGUGAUGAGGUGUCACCUGGAGAGAGCUGUUGAGAGCCCACAUGUUUACAUGCAGCCAGGUGACCCAGUUUUGCCCUGCAUCAGACCACCACUGCAUUCUUCACUUUGGUUUCAUUUCUCUGAAUCACACUUUACUAAUUUUGUUUGUCAGUGCUGAAGGCGGGUUCUAGGGGAGAUUCAUAGUCUAUACUAUAAAGCUCUUUAUAAUUUGAUUUGCUUUAAUACCUAAUCUUGAGACUCAUGAAAGAUUACCCAAAGAUAAAAAACAAACAAACAAAC